rnacentral:rRNA from 1 species
GCUGAAACUCGCCUACAUGAAGCUGGAGUUACUAGUAAUCGCAGAUUAGAAUGCUGCGGUGAAUGCGUUCCCGGGUCUUGUACACACCGCCCGUCACACCACGGGAGUUGGAGACGCCCGAAGCCGAUUAUCUAACCUUUUGGAAGAAGUCGUCGAAGGUGGAAUCAAUAACGGGGGUGAAGUCGUAACAAGGUAGCCGUAUCGGAAGGUGCGGCUGGAUCACCUCCUUUCUAAGGAGA